UACAGAGGCCUCAAGCGUUGUUCGGAUUCAUUGGGCGUAAAGGGUGCGCAGGCGGUCGGGUAAGUCGGAUGUGAAUGCUCGGUCGGGCACCAUCCAUCGAAGACUGCAUUCGAUACUGCCUGGCUAGAGGAUUGGAGAGGAGAGUGGAAUUCACGGUGUAGCAGUGAAAUGCGUAGAGAUCGUGAGGAAGACCACGGCGAAGGCAGCUCU
rnacentral:rRNA from 1 species